rnacentral:rRNA from 1 species
CUUGAGCGUUGACGUUACCUAUAGAAGAAGCACUGGCUAACUCUGUGCCAGCAGCCGCGGUAAUACAGAGAGUGCGAGCGUUAAUCGGAAUCACUGGGCGUAAAGAGCACGUAGGUGGAUAUUUAAGUCGGAUGUGAAAGCCCUAGGCUUAACCUAGGAACUGCACUCGAUACUGAAUAUCUCGAGUAUGGUAGAGGGAAGUGGAAUUUUCGGUGUAGCGGUGAAAUGCGUAGAUAUCGGAAAGAACACCAGUGGCGAAGGCGGCUUCCUGGACCAAUACUGACACUGAGGUGCGAAAGCGUGGGGAGCAAACAGGAUUAGAGACCCUGGUAGUCCACGCCGUCAACGAUGAGAACUAGCUGUUGGAGAGUUUACUUUCUAGUAGCGAAGCUAACGCGUUAAGUUCUCCGCCUGGGGAGUACGGCCGCAAGGUUAAAACUCAAAGAAAUUGACGGGGGCCCGCACAAGCGGUGGAGCAUGUGGUUU